rnacentral:rRNA from 1 species
UACGAGGGGUGCAAGCGUUAUUCGGAUUCACUGGGCGUAAGGGGUGCGUAGGCGGUCGGGUAAGUCUGACGUGAAAUCUCCGGGCCUAACCCGGAAACUGCGUCGGAUACUAUCCGGCUAGAGGAUUGGAAGGGAGAGUGGAAUACUUGGUGUAGCAGUGAAAUGCGUAGAUAUCAAGUGGAACACCAGUGGCGAAGGCGAGUCUCAGGACAAUUACUGACGCUGAGGCACGAAAGCCAGGGGAGCAAACGGG